ensembl:misc_RNA 7SK 7SK RNA
GGAAGGAGGGCGAUCUGGCUGCGACAUCUGUCACCCCAUUGAUCGCCAGGGUUGAUUCGGCUGAUCUGGCUGGCUAGGCGGGUGUUCCCUUCCUCCCUCACUGCUCCAUGUGCGUCCCUCCCGAAGUUGCGCGCUAGGUCGAAGAGGACGACCUUCCCCGAAUAGAGGAGGUCCGGUCUUCGGUCAAGGGUAUACGAGUAGCUGCGCUCCCCUGCUAGAACCUCCAAACAAGCUCAAGGUCCAACCUUGGAUUUAUAUCUGUAUCUUGCUAUCUAUUCUAUGCAGACUCAAAAAGAAUAUGGUGUUCCUAUUU